AUUGAACGCUGGGGCAGGCCUAACACAUGCAAGUCGCGCGGAUGAAGGGAGCUUGCUCCUGGAUUCAGCGGCGGACGGGUGAGUAAUGCCUAGGAAUCUGCCUGGUAGUGGGGGAUAACGUCCGGAAACGGGCGCUAAUACCGCAUACGUCCUGAGGGAGAAAGUGGGGGAUCUUCGGACCUCACGCUAUCAGAUGAGCCUAGGUCGGAUUAGCUAGUUGGUGGGGUAAAGGCCUACCAAGGCGACGAUCCGUAACUGGUCUGAGAGGAUGAUCAGUCACACUGGAACUGAGACACGGUCCAGACUCCUACGGGAGGCAGCAGUGGGGAAUAUUGGACAAUGGGCGAAAGCCUGAUCCAGCCAUGCCGCGUGUGUGAAGAAGGUCUUCGGAUUGUAAAGCACUUUAAGUUGGGAGGAAGGGCAGUAAGUUAAUACCUUGCUGUUUUGACGUUACCAACAGAAUAAGCACCGGCUAACUUCGUG
rnacentral:rRNA from 1 species